CGCAAAUGCUUGAUGAAGUGUUUGACGAAUGUUUGGAGAACAUGUCGGAAUUGUCGGUACGAGCACCCCAGACCAACAACUGACAAACCAAAGACAGGAACAAGCACAGAAAACAUGGAUAAGAGGAAGAGGUCCGAACUGGAGGAUGACUCUCUGAACAUGUCGGAAUUGUCGGCACGAGCACCCCAGACCAACAACUGACAAACCAAAGACAGGAACAAGCAAAGAAAACAUGGAUAAGAGGAAGAGGUCAGAACUGGAGGAUGACUCUCUGAGGGAUUAUCAGUCUACGUCACUCUACGUCACUCGGCGGUCUACGCGCAUGUCGUUGGCAGAAAGAGACGAGAGCGACAUGAGCCGCAAUCAUGUCUUGUUGUUGCACAAACCCUUUUAAUAAGACUGAUUAUCCCAUUUAAUCUACUUCUUGCUUGCCAACAUAAUAAAACCAUUCAAAUAC